GCGCCGCACUGUAUGCUAUCCCGUGCGGCGGAAAAAAAAAGUCCCACGCCUCCCUUAGUAACCGAUGCGCGUUAUCCCCUCUUCAUCUGUCUGAGCCACACGUUUCUUUCUCUCUCUCCAGACCGAAGCAGCGACGGAAAUUUUGAGGAGCACCGCGCCGGCGAGGUUGCCGCUGUUGCCGCGCACGCAUCGGGAUGCUGCCUCCACAGGAGCACGCGGCCGCAGGGUAGGACGCCUCCGUCAAGCUCGCAUCGUGAUGCUGCCUCCACACGAGUAUGCAGUUGCAGGGGAGGCCGUCGCCGGGCAUGCUCCGGCAGGGGCAGGCCGCCGCCGUCAAGCAUGGACCGGAGGAAGCCGCAGGCGCUGAGCACGCACCAAGGGGAGCUUCCGUCCACGAACGAGCGAAGGGGAGACCGCCGCCGACGAGCGAGCGAAGGGCUGGCCCCCACCGUCGAGCAUGCUCCAGGAGGGGAGGCCGCCGCCAUCGAGCACGGAGGAGGCAUGCGCCAUGAGGAUGAGGAACGCCUCGCUGGGAAGCACGCGGGGAUGGGUCGUCGUCGCUGAGCACCAAGGGAGGACCUCGUUGCCAGUUUAAUUUAGUGCUAAUUGCCAUAUUACUCCUAGUAGUUGAUCCUAGUUUCCGUAUUACUAGUACUCCAAAUUACCGGAUUAAUUGGGAGUAACUGCCAUAUUAGUUGAUCCUAGUUUCCGUAUAUUAUUUCCUAGAGUAAUUAGGUCCUAAUUAUCGGAUUAACUGGAAGUAAUUACCAAUUUCAAAUGAGAUUAGCUGCCAGGUUAGGAAGGAUCUGGUGUUUUCU